GCUAGCAACAAACUUAAACAAAAAAUAAAACAUUGAGAUUUUACAGCAGCAAAAAAAGGAAAAAUAAAAGAUUCUACCAACAAACUUAAACAAAAAUAGGGGUUAGCUGCGAAAGAAAGAGCCCGACAUUUAUUCAUAUUCAUAGCUUAGUCUACGAAAAUAAAAGAGACAUACUCAUUAUGCAAUGCAUCCUCUGUCACAAAAGCUGCUGUAGAUCCUCCUGCAGUUUGUGCAUCACCUUGUUCUUCCAUUGUACCACGGUUAGCCACAAAAGUGGCAGACUUUAUCAUCAUAUCUUCCUAUCCUGCCAGGUCUUGGAUGCUUUGUCAGAUGCUUCAGCUUGUGUCCUGACUUCUUUCCUGGUCCCAAUGUA
rnacentral:lncRNA from 1 species